rnacentral:rRNA from 1 species
UCGGGAAUUUUGGGCAAUGGGCGAAAGCCUGACCCAGCAACGCCGCGUGAGGGAUGAAGUAUUUCGGUAUGUAAACCUCGAAAGAAUGGGAAGAAUAAAUGACGGUACCAUUUAUAAGCUCCGGCUAACUACGUGCCAGCAGCCGCGGUAAUACGUAGGGAGCAAGCGUUGUUCGGAUUUACUGGGCGUAAAGGGCGCGUAGGCGGCGCGGUAAGUCACUUGUGAAAUCUCUGAGCUUAACUCAGAACGGCCAAGUGAUACUGCUGUGCUAGAGUGCGGAAGAGGCAACCGGAAUUCUUGGUGUAGCGGUGAAAUGCGUAGAUAUCAAGAGGAACACCAGAGGCGAAGGCGGGUUGCUGGGCCGACACUGACGCGGAUGCGCGAAAGCCAGGGGAGCAAACG